UACGUAGGGUGCAAGCGUUGUCCGGAAUUAUUGGGCGUAAAGAGCUCGUAGGCGGUCUGUUACGUCGGCUGUGAAAACCUGGGGCUCAACCCCGGGCCUGCAGCCGAUACGGGCAGACUAGAAUUCGGUAGGGGAGACUGGAAUUCCUGGUGUAGCGGUGGAAUGCGCAGAUAUCAGGAGGAACACCGGUGGCGAAGGCGGGUCUCUGGCGCACAUUGACGCUGAGGAGCGAAAGCGUGGGGAGCGAACAGG
rnacentral:rRNA from 1 species